rnacentral:rRNA from 1 species
UACGUAGGGGGCUAGCGUUGUCCGGAUUUAUUGGGCGUAAAGAGCGUGUAGGCGGCCAGGUAGGUCUGGUGUGAAAACUCGAGGCUUAACCUCGAGAUGUCAUCGGAAACCAUCUGGCUAGAGUCCGGAAGAGGAGAGUGGAAUUCCUGGUGUAGUGGUGAAAUGCGUAGAUAUCGGGAGGAACACCAGUGGCGAAGGCGACUUCCUGGCCUGUUCUUGACGCUGAGGCGCGAAAGCUAGGGGAGCAAACGGG